UGGAGGCAGGCAGAUCAUGUGGCAUAGAACAUUCUAGAGACUGUGAGAGGGCAUUUUUUUUUUCUUUUCCAGUGGCUGAGAGUGAGGUGGGUACCUUCAUUGACCUGUCCAAUACAGCAGAAGAAAAGAUGACCAGAGUUUUUGGAUAAUAGUCUGAGGUGUUACCUCAUGGCAAGGCAACUUCUAUAGAAAAAUCCACCUUCAGGAAGAGUAUUCCUGGGUCACAGUGAUGUUUUCUUCCAUGACCUUGGAAAGUUUGGCCAUGCAGUAUCCCAAAGCAAGAAUAUUCCAACACUGACUUAUCCAUUCUCCUGCUGAUGGACAGUUGAGUUGUUUC